rnacentral:tRNA from 1 species
GCGGUGGUGGUGGAACGGGCAGACACGCUAGUUUGAGGGACUAGUUCUUAACAGGAGUGCGGGUUCAAGUCCCGCCCACCGCACCA